rnacentral:misc_RNA from 1 species
GAUGAAGAACGCAGCGAAAUGCGAUAAGUAAUGUGAAUUGCAGAAUUCAGUGAAUCAUCGAAUCUUUGAACGCACAUUGCGCCCUCUGGUAUUCCGGGGGGCAUGCCUGUUCGAGCGUCAUUAUAACCACUCAAGCUUACGCUUGGUAUUGGGGUUCGCGGUCCCGCGGCCCCUAAAAUCAGUGGCGGUGCCUGUCGGCUCUACGCGUAGUAAUACUCCUCGCGAUUGAGUCCGGUAGGUUUACUUGCCAGCAACCCCUAAUUUUUACAGGUUGACCUCGGAUCAGGUAGGGAUACCCGCUGAACUUAAGCAUAUCAAUAAGCGGAGGA